rnacentral:rRNA from 1 species
CGUAUAUUAAAGUUGUUGCAGUUAAAAAGCUCGUAGUUGGAUUUGUGGCAGUCGCAUGCGGCCCGGCAUUCGUGUCGGUGUUUGCUCGCGUCGCCAUCCUUGGGUGGAACCUGUGUGGCAUUAGGUUGUCGUGCAGGGGAUGCCCAUCAUUUACUGUGAAAAAAUUAGAGUGUUCAAAGCAGGCUUAUGCCGUUGAAUAUAUUAGCAUGGAAUAAUAAGAUAGGACCUUGGUACUAUUUUGUUGGUUUGCGCACCAAGGUAAUGAUUAAUAGGGACAGUUGGGGG